UGGGGAAUUUUGCGCAAUGGGCGAAAGCCUGACGCAGCAACGCCGCGUGAGUGAUGAAGGCUUUCGGGUCGUAAAGCUCUGUCAAGGGGAAAGAAGUGUAUUGUGGUUAAUACCCAUGAUGCUUGACGGUACCCCUAAAGGAAGAACCGGCUAACUCCGUGCCAGCAGCCGCGGUAAUACGGGGGGUGCAAGCGUUGUUCGGAAUUAUUGGGCGUAAAGCGCGUGUAGGCGGUUUGUUAAGUCUGAUGUGAAAGCCCCGGGCUCAACCUGGGAAGGGCAGUGGAAACUGGCAGACUUGAAGACGGGAGGGGGUAGUGGAAUUCCUGGUGUAGGGGUGAAAUCCGUAGAUAUCAGGAGGAACGCCGGUGGCGAAGGCGGCUGCCUGGACCGAUAUUGACGCUGAGACGCGAAAGCGUGGGUAGCAAACA
rnacentral:rRNA from 1 species